rnacentral:rRNA from 1 species
ACGACUCUCGGCAACGGAUAUCUCGGCUCUCGCAUCGAUGAAGAACGUAGCGAAAUGCGAUACCUGGUGUGAAUUGCAGAAUCCCGCGAACCAUCGAGUCUUUGAACGCAAGUUGCGCCCGAGGCCACUCGGCCGAGGGCACGCCUACCUGGGCGUCACGC